GCAUUAUACAUUUCUGCAAACUAUGCAAGCAGGACUGCCUUAAGAUUAGACCCAAAAAACUGGGAACUGGACAAGAAAGUCGAAUUUUGUCAAGAAGUCCAUUAUUGCAACAGAAUUUUGGAAAACAGCUAAAACUUACAAAAACAGCCUCCCCCCUCUUUUUUCUUAAGACUACAACUCAUAUUGCUCUUGGACUAGUAUUCAAUAAUAAAUCAGUUAUUUAAUAGAUUAUUACACUGCCAUUUCCAUCUGUAUCAAUAUGGAGACAAACUUACAAAAUACCCAUUAACAUACAUGACAAUUAAAC